CCUCACCGCCUAUCACAGCAUAAAAGAGUAGCACAUUUCAUAGGCUAGGGGUACAAAUAAUAUCCAUUCUGCCUGAUAACAUAACCAUAAUGACUAUCUCACAGGAGCACACAAACUUGACCUGAUACAAGAUACAUAUUCUCAUUGAGCUUUCAAAUAGCCCCCAACCCAAAUACUGAUUAUUUCCACAUAGGUAAAUAUCCUUUCUAUAAAAUCCACAGCGACCUAUCAAUUAUACAUGCUAUUAACUACCUCAUCCUCAAUGUUUCUUCACAAUUCGCAAACAGGAAAUGGUCCACAUAUGAGGGCAUCUAGCCCCAAAACCUCAGGAAUACCAAAAUUUCCAUACCCAAACUCAACUCUGCAAAUCAAAUGGCCGAUAUAUCACUUACACCCUAUCAUUCUACUGAAGCACUCAUAUAGAGUUUCUGGCCGCGUAACAAAACAUGAACCUCGAAAGCCUCAAAACCCAGUAAUCACCAUGCUACCAGCCACGCACUACAAACCAAAACUCAAGGUCCUUUCAAAAAAUGCACACUCUUCACAUAUAACAGUUAAAAUGCCAACACCCUAUUAAUUUCUGAUACCUAUUUAGAAGAAAUCCACAAUGUGCAACAUAUUCCUUAUGCCCCUAGCAGCCAGCAAAAUCAAGUUGUUGCCUAAACCAUCGAGAACUCCCUAGGAUCCACUCGCACGCAACUAAGUCAUUAGGACUGUAUCUCCCCAAAUCAAAUGAGUCACACAAACCUUCCAAUACCAGAGUGCUGCCACAAAUGCUAGUAGAGAAUUCCUAUUCAAAAGGACCAAUUACUUCCAUUACUAUGCUGACCCAACACUACUGAGCUAACCCAUUUAUUCGGAUAGUCGAUAUGCAAUAAUCCUAAUAUAGAUGAUCCUAACACGAACCAUGUAGCCAGAAGCUCAUAAACCACCGCAUUUCCUCUAAAGCACCCAGUUCUGCUGCAACCACGAUACCCACACUGAAUAGACCUCCUGUGAAUUUGAAGUUGUUCCUCUGACUCCCCUUGAUGCUGAAAUGUAGAUCCAUUAUUGACGUAGAAAUACUGUAAGCCCCAACAUCAUCUCGUCCAAGAUCUCAGACCCUGGUCAUAACCCAAAUCCGGGAACCUACCAAUACUACAUAUACACAUACCUCGGGCUGAAACUGAUAUAAAUCUGACUCUACAAUUGGAAUGCCGCUAUUGGACUCCUCCACUCGACGCAAAGCCAUAGAAAACAACAUCUGAUGAUCCGUAAAACUAACCUUCAUAGCUCACACAACACAAAUCACAAGGUACUCCAAUACCACCAACAAUUCCAAAUCAACACCCACCUCGUGACCUUGCCAUAAUCGCAACGACUAGUCAACCAAUUAAACCUUCCCAAGCUCGCACUCAUCAACCAGAUGUCGGAAACCACUACGCCUUCAUACGAACAACUGAAUAGUCUCUCACUACCUCUAUAUUUUCAUUCUGGACAACACAUUGAGACAAUGCCUGAGCAUCCCUGACUCCUUCGUAGACUAUCUCUGGUAUCACGAACCACUGGCACAUAGCGAACGCUAAGAGCGUAAUAUUAUACAUGAGCGGAUGUAAAGGGACAUAAGUCAUAUACUUCGAGCUGAAUCAAUAUCGCACGACAAGGAAUGAAACAAGUGGAAUUUCCUAACAGUUCUGUAGCCUCUCGAAGAUAAGUACAGACGUCUCUAUACCGAUCUGCAAGACUCUACUAAACCUGCUUAUGACUCGUAGCACCUAUGAACCUAGAGCUCUAAUACCAACUUGCCACGACCCAAAAUCCCUCCAAAGGAGUCGUGAUGGCACCUAGUCUCUAAACUAGGUAUGCCUAACAUUUACUGAAAUAACAUUAAUAUUUACUGACUUUAAAUUAAACAACUCUCAAUAAAUCACAAUUCCCAAAACCGGUGGUACAAGUCACAAGCCUUUCUAAGAGUACUUAUACAAAAUAAAUACAACACUGUUCCAGAACGAAAAGGAAUCAAUGGAACGUAAAUACAAACGAAGGUGACUCCGAGGCAUGCGAAUGCAGUAACAGGUUACCGUGAGUCUCUACUACGAUGACCCGCACAGCUACUAUCGAUCAAUACCUAGAUCUGUACACAAAUAAAUGUACAGAAGUGUAGUAUGAGCACACCACGGCGGUGCCCAAUAAGUAUCAAGACUAACCUCGAUGGGGUAGUGACGAGGAAUAGUCAAGACACCUACUGGUCAAAUGAAAUGAACAGGAUAUGAUAAUAAAUAUCGACAUAAAGAUAACGAGGUAAUAUCAACAAUGGAAAGAAAUAAAAAAUACAAACAGUAGGAACAAUACAAGGAGAACACGGGUAGUAAUGAACAAUAACCAAGUAAAUUAGAUAAUCAAUUAAAUCAGAUAACCAUGUAAAUCAACACUGACAUAACAAGAACAGAGACAAGUAAGAAUGUAUUCAAAUAAAGAAGGUGAUGCCAACUCAAUCAAUCACAUCAUGUCUAAUAUACAAUCCCGACCAUCUCAAUUCUCGGUUUCUCAUAUCAAAAUAUCAACUUCCGAGCCUUCAGCCCACAUGGCACCUCGUGCCCCCAUAUUUUCCAACUCACUUUUAACAACAAAAUCCACAUGCUAUACAAUACAUAAUGUCCGUACAAAUGCACUGAAGAUGUUUAAGAAGUCUCAUUUAACUAAUAUAAGUAAAUUACAAUUUCUAAACUAAUUAGGAAAGCUAGCGAGAAAAGAUAAGGUUGUUUCUUUUGAAAUCAUUUGAGUAAAGAAAGUACCCCUUUCAAUUAAAAUACAACAUCGAAUGGAUUAUUACCUUUAACAUGGGAGUUAAUAACUUAAAACUUAGUAAAAAUUCCUUUAUAAGUAAAAUACAACCUCAGACUGUUUAAGGGGUUAUAAUUGAGAAACUAAUUGAAUUAAAAAUGUAACAAUUAUUGAAGUUUGAAGUAUUGGAAUGUAUAUAUAUAAAUACAGCGCAGUAUUUAAAACACUGUAGGUUCCAAUACAAGGAAUCACUACAAUAAAGGAAUUUAAACAGUUAGAACACUUAAAUUGAUAACAACAAAUAAACACAACAACAGAAAGUGCACAACAUCACCCUUCAUGCUUUAACUCUCAAUCCUUACCAUGCAAUCAAUAUUCACUUUUGUUCUUUCUUGUUGCGGCGUGCAACCCGAUCCAAAUCAUAUAAUACUAUUGCGGCGUGCAACCCGAUCCCAAUUAUAUAAUGAUGUUGCGGCGUGCAACCCGAUCCCAAUCAUAUAAUGAUGUUGCGGCGUGCAACUCGACCACAUCUAUCCACCCUUAUUACUCCUUGUUGCGGUAUGCAACCUGAUCCCAUAUAAUAUUGUUGCGGCGUGCAACCCGAUCCCAAUAUACAAAUCAACACCAAUCACAAAAGAAUCCCGACAAGGGAACAAUAGUAUAACAACAAUAUCCCGGCAAGGGAAACAAUUUCAUUAGCAAUAACAUCCCGGCAAGGGAACAAUAGUAUAACAAGAAUAUUCCGGCAAGGGAAACAAUAUCAUAAGCAAUAACAUCCCGCCAAGGGAAUCAACAAGUACAUAACAAGGGACACGGAAAAACCAAGAAGCAUGAUAACCUCAACAAAACAACAAGACAUAAUAAGCACGUGAUAACUACACAGGUAACCACAAUAAUUGGACAUGUAACAUAUUUGUACGAAGUCAUAGAAGAACUCACAAUCAAGAAGUAUCAAACAAUAAGGAAGGCAAUCACUUCAAUUAAGGCAAUUAAGGGUCAAUGUAACACGUAAGAAUUAUAGGAAAGCUAACAACAUCAUAUGGGGCAUAUAGAGGCAAUUUAAGAAAUUAUUAAACUCAAUCAUAACGGGAUACUUUCCACAUAAUGAACAUAAGGACCUAAGAACCCUAGAGAAAAUUUCCUACAAAUAAGUCCGAGCAUACACUCGUCACCUCGCAUGCACGGACUACAAUUAGCAUAGAAGACUCAAAUCCUAAGGGGAAAUACCUCACACAAGGUUAGGGAAGAUACUUACCUCAAAGACGAUAAACCGAUACCCUAAAAUGCACUUCUCGUGUGAAAAGACCUCCGGAUGGCUGAAAUCUAACCAAAUUAACUUCAAAUCACAAAUAAAACACAUAAGAAACUAUUACGGAUCAUAAAGCCUCAAUCUUUCACAAAAUCCAAAAAUUGGUCCAAAAGUCAACCCCUAGGCCCGCACCUCGGAACCCGACAAAUUUUACAAAAACUGAAUACCAUUCCGAUACGAGUUUAACCAUACAAAAUUUAUCAAAUUCCGAUACCAUUUGGUCCCUCAAAUCAUGAUUUUUUAUUUUUGAAAUUUCCUUCAAAAACCAACAUUUCUCCCAACCCAAAACACAAAUUAAAUGAUAAAAAAGAAGAUAAAAUCAUGGAAUAUAUUAGAUUCUAUAUGAAGAACACUUACCCAAUCGAUUUGUAAGAAAAAACCCUCAAAAAUCGCUCAAAACCGAGCUCCACAAGUCAAGAUAUGAAUAAAAUGGUCUAACCCUCAAUUUGGGAAUAUAUUCUGCCAACCCAGGGGCUGUUCUUCUUGCUCGCAACCCUUAUCUCGCAUUCGUGAUGAGUAAAUUCCUCGCCAGCGAUUUCCAAACUCAUUCCAAAUAGCCUUUAGUAUAAUGGCCAUAAUGUUUUGCACGCAACCCCAAAUGACAAAUGGUUUGAUAUUCUGAAAACUAGACACCAAGGGCUACUUGUUUCAUAGGUCUCUCAUUUCUUGAGUCAUUAUACAUUGCGAGAUAUAAGCUUCCAAAGUCAACCCUGUGCAUCAGAGAUUUUCGAACUCUUCCCGGACAGCCUAUAGUUUAACUACCAUAACUUUUUGUACACAAAUCUAAUUGCCAAUUCAUUUAUCUUUCUGAAAGCUGGACAAAAAGGGCUACAACUUUCAUUUUUGGAUCAUCUCCAAAUUCCUUAUAGAUUGUGAGAUAUGAGCUUCCGAAGUCACACCUAUUCAACCGAGAUUUCCUUCUUCACGAACGUGAGUGUCUCUUCGCGAACACGAUGAAAUAAACUUCCAGAAGCCAAAUUCUUCUUUGCGAACGCAAGAGGCUCCUCGCGAACGCGAAGAACAACACCAGAUAUAAGAUAAUCAACAUCCAAAGUAGCCCAAAAUAAUCUGAAACACACCCGAAACACACCCGAGUCCCCCGGAACCCCGUCUAAACACACAAACAAGACAUAUAACCUAACACGGACUCUCUCGAGAUCUCAAAACAUAUCAAACAAUGCCAAAACGAUGAAUCACACCAUGAAUCGAACUUAGGAGCUUCCAAACCUUCCAACUUCCAAAACUCGUGCCGAAACCUAUCAAAUCAUCUCAGAAUGAUGCCAAAUUUUACAGACAAGUCCAAAAUGACAUAAUGAAGUUGUUCCAACUCUCGAAAUCGUAUUCCAACCCCGAUAUCACAAAAGUCAACUAUGAGUCAAACCUGUCCAUUUUUCAAACUUCAACUUUUCCAACUUUUGCCGAAACACCUCAAAUUAUCCUACGGACCUCCAAAUCCGAAUCCGGAUGUGCGCCUAAGUCCAAAAUCACCACACGAAGCUGUUGAGAUCACCCACGACCCAUUCCAGGGCCGUUUUCUCAAAAGUCCAAUUCCGGUCAAAUUCUCACCGUUUAAAUUUCCAAAAGUAGUUUCUUUCUUCCAAUUUGACUUUGAAUCAUCCGUUAAUUGAAUUCAACCACGCACCCAAGUCGAUACACAUAUUAUGAAGUUGCUCGAGACCAUAAACUGCCGAUCCGGGCGCAAUUGCUCAAAACGACCAGUCGGGUCGUUACAAUAGACGGAAUAAUCGAGAAAUAAGAGACUUUGAACUAGAUUUGGUUCGGGUCUCUUGAGAUUCACAUCAGGAAACAUAGAAAUCGUAUAACCAAUAGAGAGGUGAGGCCUAAUAAGGCAUGAAAUCGAAGGAAAACCCCAUGAAUCAAGGGGGAUAUCAGUGACGGCGGGCUAGGGUUAGAGGGGUUUGAGAGAGAGAAGAGAUGAGAGAAUGGAUCUAGAGGCGGCGGGUUGGGAGAAAUGAGAUAGGGUUUGGGGGGUUUUGAUAUAUUAAAAAAGGAAGGUGGAUCCUGGACUGUUGAUCUUCUAAGAUCAACGACCAAGAUCAAUUUAAGGCUGGGGUGGGUUUAAUUAGACGGGUAGGGUAAUUGGGUUAGGUUAUUGGGUUGGCUAGUAUUGGGUUGGGAGGUCCGAAAAUUUAAUUAAAAAGGGCUAUGUUUUAAAUACCCAUUUAAUUUAAAUAGCUUAUAAAUGAUAAAAAUGUCAUUUGUGCAUGAAAAUGAUUUAAAAUAAUUAUUUAAUAUUAUAAAAAUAUAAAAAGUCAUUUUCCAUUUAAAUAAUGUAAUUAUGCAUAAAGAUAGAAAUAUAUUUAUGCAUAAAAUAAUUAAAGCUUAAUAUAAAUAUAAAUGAUAAAUAUCAAGUAAUAAAUCAUUAUAAAAUUAUUUGUUAUGCAAUUAGUAAUUAUUUAGAUAAUAAAAUGCUGGAAUAAAUUAAUUAGAAUUCUUUUAAAAUUACAGAAAAUUAUGAAAAAAUACUGGUUGAUGCUCAUGCACUAUUUUGAAAAUAUAUAUGCAUUUUAAAAUAUAUGAGGGAAAAAUUGGGUAUCAACAGCACAUGAUGGCAUGAAUAACGUCCAUUAUACCUGAUGACUCCUCUAUAGACAAAUACUGCGGUGAAUAAACAGAUUCGAGCUAUUAUAGAAUACACCUUCACCUUAGGCCUACCAAUGGGCCUCCAAACCGAUUCGGAUCAUACCAAAAUAGGUCAAUAACCUUCCAUAAGUCCACAGUGACCUUAUCCAUGAUACAUACAAAUCAACUGUCAAAUUUUGAACAAACUUCCAUAGUCCGCAACUAGAGGAAUAGCCUACCUCUUAGAAAUAAACUCUCCAAUCUGCGAUAGUACCAAAAUCUCUAUACCUGAUCUCAAACUCUCCCACUUAAAUGACUGACAUGUCACGCAUACACAACCAUCCCCUAGGAGAUACUCCCAAAACCAUCUACACCAAGUAGCAGAACCUGGACAUAAAUGGUCACCAACCAUGAAGUUUCUGUAGUACAAGCCAAGCAUCCACAAAUCAAUACACAAUGCAUCUUCCACAAAACACACCACUAUCAAGCGAUACUAAAUAGUAUUAGUAUACUCUGAACAUCUGAAAUCUCCCCUGCUAUCUUGAACUCAUGACAUUCCAGUCAAAAUUGAACCACAACCUUGACCCCUCAAAUCCCAAUUCUGUACAGUUCACUGCAUCCAGCAUGCUAUCAUAUGAAAAUAUGAGAAUACCUUUAUAAAUUCUUAAUCACAAGUAGAAUAAUCACUCCAUCGGUUAGAAACCUUUCACUUAACUCAUUUUAGGAGAAAAAUUGCAACAAGUAACCAACUUGCCAUGACCGCAGAAAACCCAAUCUCAAGUCAUGAUCUAAACUAACAUAACUCUUCGGGACCCAUUUGCACGUAAUCAAACCAUCAGGAUUGAAUCCCUCUAAAUCAACCAAAUCAUGGAGACUUCCAAGCCUGCAAGUAUUGCUAUGAAGCACAUGUAUAGCCUUCAUACUAAAAGAACCGAUCAUUUCCCUUACUAUGCUAAUCGAAGCCACUACCAAAGUGACACUACUUCUUCUGAUUUACUAUUGACUUGCCUUAAAAAUAACACCUCUUUUUACCAGCACAUGUUGGAUCUCAAUCAACACUCACCUUGAGUGACCCCAAAUCGAAAGACCACGUCGUCUCAAUACCAUAAGCCAUUUUAUACCAUCUCAUGCACUCAAUAUUACCUCCAACUAAUACAUCCGUUACGAAGAUACCUUUUGUGAAUCUGAAGUUGUUUCUUCCAUCUCUCUAACACUAUCUCACAGACCCCAAAAUAAUAUAAAAAUACUCCAAGUAUCUUUCACAAACCAACACAAAUUCCGAACCUUUAGUCACACACAAAUUCGAAAAUCCUUAGGUACCACACCUUGAAUCUUGAACCCACAAAAUCAUUAUUGAGAGUCGGUCACUGUAAGCUAGUCCUGAAUAGAUAAACAAACAAGCAAAUAACUAAUGCUCCAUUAGCACAUGAAUACUCCAAAAGAAGCACCCAAGUGAAUACUUCCUCUUGCACAUCACAUCCACAAGGAAUAUCAAAUUUGAGUCAUCCUGCAAACUCCACAAUCAAUAAGGUAAAAUAUAACACGCACCCACCAAUUCUUUGCUCAAAUCAUCCUCAAAGUCAUAAAUAAUCCACCCCGCGUCCUUUAAUUCUGAAACUACAACCACAUAAGACCAUGCGACCCAAAUAUUGAUAGUAGGCUCCCCCACUUGGCCUUAAGCCAUAAUCACAUAAUCCAAGUUAUCAUUCCCAAAUACACAUUCGACCUCAUGACAGUCACGCCAUCUUCCUCAAGCGAUUCGGACACACAGUGUAGUACAUGCCUCUCAUUGGAUAGAAGGUAAAACUCUUUAUAGGAACCUCAUAAGAAAUCAGGCAAACUCUCAUAGGAGAUAUCCCACCUGUGUAUAACCUUAUAUUGACAUCCUCCAACAACAUUUCCAUAGUUAUAUCCACUAUGAAAUUCGUUAAUCCUCCCGAGUCCACACUCGUCCACCAGUUGUAAGAAACCAUUCAUUCCAUUAACAUAAACUGAAGGCACAUCAACGCGUUCAAAGCUCGAGACUAUAUUGCACUCUAAAAGGAUAUAAGCAUUCACAUUUCCUCUGCGUUCCAAGCAAACUAUUUACGUGGUAUUCGAACUUUCUAAGUGUACAAGUCAUUACCAGAAUAAAAUACAUAGACUUAGUUAUUUGUCCACAAUGACCCUAAUUACAUUAAGCUUUCUCAAAGCAUGUGGCUAUCCUACCACAAUAUCCAUGAUGAUACGCUCCCACUUUCGUUCCAUUUUAGACAUCUUCUUAGGCAACUAUUCGAUCUAUGCUCCUCAUACUCGAUCUGCUAAUAAUUCAACCAUCACGAGACACAUUCAACAACAUCCUUUUAAUCCUCUGCAACCAAUAAUGCAGCCUCAAACCACUAUCCAUCUCCGUAGCACCCAAACAAAUAGAAUGUCAUUAACUCUAAGCCUUCUCAAGGAUCAUCUCCCUUGAACCAUCAAAAAUGGAACACAGAUUCAACCCUGAAGUCGCAACACACCGUCAUCUUCGAUAUUUUCUCCUUAUGCACCACCUCGCCAUGCCGUGUCUCCAAGGACAAGAAAUCAUAGUGACGAGCCUUAGUGCGAUCGAACAAGGACAACUACACAACAAGACAAGAAAGAACUCUACCAAAUUCAAAAAUGCCGAAUCUAGCAACUUUGUCGACCAAAGCUGGAACAUUAAUAGCCCAAAUGCCUCUCCCGUACUUGAAUAAACACCAACCUCCCAAUCGUGAACCGAAUAAUCCUCCUGUUGAAGCAUUCAUGACCGCGACACAUCAAUAAACACCCUACCAUUUACAUCAACACUGUGCGAUAACAAUACGUGAAUUAUUGCAAUACACUAUGUAUAGCCUUGAACCCGUGGGCAACGCCAACAUUGUGACAAAAUGAUUGAACAACCCUUUACAAGGAAAUGAUAGUAGUCUACCCUUAUAGCACAGGGAAAAACAUCAUCAACCACACCUGUAGAAUCAACUCGUCGAUGCCCAACUGAUAUCAAGUGCUCCAUAUCGCAUUUGAAUGAGUAGGAUGGAGCUAAAGAUAUAAGCUUCAACCAAAAUCAAGUCGCAUGAUAAGGAAUGAAGAAUGGGAAGUUCUCCUAACAGUCUUGUAUCCUCUCGAAGAUAGGUACAGACGUCUCCAUAUCGAUCCGCAAGACUCUACUAUACUUGCUCAUGACUCGUGAGACCUAAGUGAACCUAGUGCUCUGAUACAAAGCUGUCACGACUCAAUUCCCACCAUAGGCCAUGAUGGCACCUAAUGCUGCUGUUAGGCAAGCCAACAAUUAAUUGACAUGCUUAACAAUUGUCCAUAAUAGAUUUAGUACAAGUGAUGAAAUAAAUAAGCAAAACUAUUCAAUUUUCAUAGUAAAUUACUGAUAUUAUCUUAAAUAUUGGAACGUGGUCGAAAUAUAAAUUUGAUAUCAUAACAAAAAUGCAACCAAGAACAAAAAUUUGAAUUCCCAAAAUCCGGUAUCACAAGUGCAUGAGCAUCUACUGAAAUAAACAUUACUACUACAAUAACUGUUUAGAAUAAAAAAUGGACAUAAUACAGUACAUAAAUAGGACGGAAAAUCUUUGUGAUAUGGAUCAUAACAUAGAGAGCAACUCAUCACAAAGUCUCCUCAGCAGUUGCGCCCACACGCCCGCGUGACCAUCAAAUGUACAUGUUUCAUUACCUGCACAAUUAGUGCAGAAGUAUAAUAUGGGUAUGAAUAUCAAUGUGUACCUAGUAAAUAUCUAGUCUAACCUCGAAGAAGUAGUAACGAGGAGUCGAUAACAACACUUACUAGUGUUUCAAUAAUUAAAGUACAAUAAAAGUAGUUAGGAUCAAGCAUAGCUAAAAAAGCAACAAAAAUAGAUAUAUGUGUAUAACAUGAUCCUCAAAAGAAGAAUAAAUAUGAAAUCCUCAAAUAUCGAAUACUACCUCGAAUGGAAUAUAUAUGACUAAUGUUAGGUGUAAACGUCAUAGAAUCUAAGUCAAGAUACUCAUAUAUGCAUCGACUCCCAAUCGAAAUAUUAUGCAUGAUUAUGCCGAGGCAAAUGGCCCGAUCCCUAAGAGUGAUUGUACAAUAUCUCGCUAUGGUCGUACGGAUCGCUCCCAUAAUAUCGCCGAGGUAUGUAUGACUCGAUCCAUAGAUGAAUCUCAUAAUACUGUCGAGACUAUCCAUAGAGAUAUUUCAUAAUACUGCCGAGGGCGUAUGGCCCAAUCCAUAAAAGUAGUGAUGAGGCGUUCAGCCUGAUCCCAUAAGAAUAGUGAAACUUUUGAUGGGUCAUCAAACCAACUCACGAAUAUAUAUAUGCGAGUUAUGAAAUCAAGAAUCUUUCGGACAAAUAAGUACAACACGGGAGUAAUUCGUAAGAGCAAGUAUAAUUUUCCUUGGCUAAUCAAGUACAACGCGCCUAAAUAAUAAGUCUUAAUACUCUAUGCAAGUCUAGUCUUAGGCUAACACAUAAAUUAAAGCAUUUAAACAAGUAGGAAUAACUCAAGUAGUAUAGUUAAAGCAUGGUGUGAGUCUAAGUCUUUAACCAGAACAAAUCAAGAAUCUAGCAUACACAUGGAUGAUCAUCACCUCAUACGUGCAUAACUCCUAUAACACAUAGAACGUAGCAAAUAUAGUCCCUUCAGGGUAAAUUCCCUCUUACAAGGUUAGGGAAGAGACUUAUCUUGCUCUGAAAUUUGAUAAUCGGCUCCAACGCCUCUCAAACAUCUCAAACAAAUGCCAAACAAUCUGUAACUAGCCAAAGAAUGUGCAAACCAAUCAAAAUACUCAAAGACUCGUUUAACAAUUAGAGAUAAUUCCUCAACCCCACACGAAAAUCAAUAAAAGUCAACCCCCCGGGCCCACGUGCUUGGAUUCCAAAAAUUCUCGAAGAUAAAUAUUACCCAUAGAACCACGAACUUAGAUAUAUAAUUUAUUCUUAAUUCCAUGCCUAAUUGCAUGGUCAAAACUCAAAAAUAAUAUUUUAGGAUUUCUUUCAAAAAUUUCACAAUUUCUACAAAUUUUCAUAUUUAAAACCAUAUAUAAUCCAUGUUAUUGGUACACAAUAAGUAAGAAUUAUUUACCUUGUGAUAGAUAAUGAAAAUGCCAUCUAAAAUCACCUCACAAUUGGCUCCAAGUGAGAGAAAUGAGAUGAAAUGAGCUAAGUCCUGAUUUUGCAACUUAUACAUUGCCCACUCGUUCCUCUACAUGAUAACGGAAGCAUAGCCGCGAUCGCGAAGGCAAAUCUGCAGUUGCCAAAAUCUUCAAAUAGCGAACUUUCAACAAUAAGUGCUGAAUCGCUCCCGUACCACCCGCUAUUCAACCCAAACAUACGCCCUAGUAUAAAAUUACCUUACGAACCUAUAGGAACCUUCUUAUCCCGAUUCCGAGGUCAUUUGCUCUAAAGUCAAACCUUGGUCAACUCUUCCGACUUAGAGCUUGCGAAUUGAGAAUUAUUCUUCCAAAUUAACUCUGAAUCUCUCGAAAUCAAAACCAACCACAUACGCGAGUCAUAAUACCUAAUGUGAAGCUACUCAAGGUCUCAAAUCGCCGAACGACAUGCUAACACUCAAAAUGACCGAUCGGGUCGUUACAUCAUUGAGAUGCACUUGUUCGCAUUCUUCUAUGUAUAAAAUCAACUCUAGGUAAAUGAUUAUUGUUUGAGGAUUGAGGCGAUGAGCAGAUCGUGUGAUACUCAGAUGUUGAUUGAGAAAGAUCACUUUUUGAUAGACGUUAUACGUUUGGAAAUUAUGCUUUAGUAGGAGGUAAUUUAGUGUCUUAGAAAAGCAAGAAACAUAAUGUGGUUGCCCGGUCCAAUGCAGAAGCAGAUUAUCAAGUAAUGACUACAUGUGAGCUAGUUUGGAUCAACAUUUGCUCAAGGAGUUGAAAUUUGGUGAGAUCAGCUAAUUGGAACUUGUGUAAUAAUCAAGCUACCUUUUAUAUUACAUGACCUAAAUAUAUUGAGAUUGAUUAUCAUUUUGUGAAGAAAAGAUACUCUUAGAAGAUAUUGCUACCAUGAUUGUAAAAUUGAAUGAUCAUCUUGCAUAUGUUUUCACCAAGUCCCUCACUGAUUCUCGUAUUAGUUACAUAUGUAACAAGCUUAGUACAUAUGAUUUGUGUGCACCGACUUGAGAGGAGUGUUAGAUGGUUAUAUAAUUAAUACUCCCUCUGUUUUAAUUUAAAUAACACACUUUUCUUAUUAAUCUGUACAAAACAAAUACUUCCUCUGUUCCAAUUUAUGUGAAACUGUUUGACUGGGCACGAAGUUUAAGAAAAAAUGAAGACUUUUGGAAAUUGCGGUCCUAAACAAGUCAAAGUGACCCAGAAUAUUUGUGUGGUUAUAAAAGCUUUUCAUUAAGAGUAAAAUUGAAAAUUUAAGCUAAAUUGUUUUCAAAUUUAGAAAGGGGUUAUUCUUUUUUGAACGGAUCAAAAAAGAAAUAUGUUCACGUAAACUGGAACGGAGGGAGUAACACAUUACUAUAUUUGGAAAUAAUUAAAUUUUAAACAUUUCAUUUUUGUCGCUCUUAUCUUUAACGUAGCACAAAUAUAUAUUUAGCCGAAAAAGAAAAUUACUCUUACUUAAACGUGGCGUUCUAUAGAAAUAUUGUCGGUCUCACUUGCCACUUCGUGGAGAGUUGACUAGGAUUUGCAAUUACAGAAAGUGCAGUCAGUUGGCAAGAAAGCAUGUGUAUAGCCGUAUUCAUAUGGAAAGCGCAUCCGCUCUAUCCCUUCCUCCUAUUCCUCAACAGAGAUGAAUACCACAAUCGGUAAGCCAUUUUGAAUUUCACUCACUUUUUUCUAUUUAUUCUAUUCGACUUUGUUUAUCUUGGUUUCCUUAUUGUUGGAAGUCCCACAAAGCCUUUGGCAUGGUGGGAAGAUAGUGAUAUAGUUGGUGGAAGAGAUGAAGUCGCUGGCGGGACUUGGCUGGCUUGUACUCACUCUGGAAGAGUGGCUUUCCUUACUAAUGUUCGGGAAAUCAAUUCAAAUUCAGACGCCAAGAGUAGAGGAGACCUUCCUGUUCGAUUCUUAAAGGUGCUUUCUCAGCAAUACUAAGCACUCCACCUGUUUGUUUAAUUGCCUGGAGCUUUCUUAUGAAUUAAUGUUUUAUUGAUGUGAUGUUCCAUGGGGUAUACAAAAAUGGAGAAUCUUAUAAGUCUGCUGGGAGCUUUCAAAUCCCUCUGUCCGUUUUAGGUGUUUCUGAACUCUUGGAAUAUAGCUGCAUGUUACCUAAGCAUGUUUCUGGUUAUGCAUCCUUUUGUUUCUAAUUAGUGAAUUCACCGUUGAUAUUGCCCUUGCCUUACUUUCCAGAUUCUAAUGAAAAUUUCUGAACUUGGUAAAAAUAAGCCUCUUAGGUACUUCCUGUGUGAAAUAUAUUUUUGUGGGUUUGUAAUUGCAGAGUGAUAAAAGCCCACAUGAUUUUUCGGAGCAACUUUUGGAAGAAGCUGGUCAAUAUAAUGGGUUUAAUUUGAUAGUAGCUGAUCUUUGUUCGAUGAACAUGGUUUAUAUAACCAACCGACCAAAAGACAGCGGUAUGUCCGCGACUGAGGUUUCAGCUGGUAUUCAUGUUUUAUCAAAUGCAACACUUGAUACUCCAUGGACUAAGGUAACAAAUUUCUCUGCUUCAUCAUGGUCUUCUUCUUGAUGAUUCUGUUAGACUAUUGACGCUUAAACCUGCACUGCAAGGCUGUGCUUAGGGAUAUACCUUCCGUGGUCUGAAAGCUUUUACGUAGCACUCAAAAAGGCACAUGUCUUGAAAGAAAAUAUAGGCCACCAAAGAAAACAAGUUGAAUUGAUGAUGGGGUCAUUUAAGAACAUAGGCUGACGGAGUUAACUUGUAUUGAGGGAAUUGUUUUGUGUCAAUCAAUCAAAAAUGCCUCAACUGGAUAAAUUCACUUAUUUAACACUGGAUUUAGCGCAGAUCAUCUCCAGCCCACUCGAACAAUUUGAAUAAUCUCAUUGAUUCCUAUGAAAAUAGGAAACUUAUAUUUCUCAUUCACAAAUCCAUCUUUGUUUAUGCUACUAACUCUCCGUUUGGUCCUACUUUUGGUUUAUUUUCUUACUAAAAAUGGAGGAAACUCAGUACCAAAUGCUUGGCAAUCCGUGGUAGAGCUUAUUUAUGAUUUCGUGCUGAAGCCGGUAAACAAACAAAUAGGUGGUCUAAAAUCAUUUAAUGCUGAUUAUAACAAAUCUAAUGCUGAUGAUAACUAUUUUCUGUUUAUCAGUUGAGCUCCAAGACUCUGAAGGACAUUAUCCGUUAGGCUUGACAUGAUUUACAAUAUCUAUUCAUUCUAGAGUUUCUGGUCUAUACUAGUUCUCCACUCCCUCACUUUCGGACAUCAUUAAUAUAACAAUUAAAGAUGCAAUACAAUGGUCUAUAGAACUUUCUGAACAAGAGUUCUGAGUGUUUUCAUAGUGGGGAGAGGUGACCAGUUUGUGAGGCAGUUGGAUUGUGAUAAAUCAAACCUAACUAGUCAAAGCAAAAUAUUAUUCUGGAUGUAGAAAGAAUGUGCAAUAUUCCUGAAAUUAAAUGAUAGGUUUAUGCUGUUGAUAAUUGAGAUAUACAGGUCCACUACACAUAGGUGGAAAAGAGAUUGACGAAAAAAGGAUCAAGCCAUGGAUAUCAUAAAUUUAUUUUAGUUACAUGCAAUUCUGGUAAAAGGAGAUUCACUACCUAGAUUUAGGGACAACUUUAUCAAUUUAUGAUUAAGAGACUCACCUUGAGAUCUGAUAAAUAGUUUUAGGAGCUCCCCGAUGGUGUGAUAAGACUCGACACAGCUUAAACAGAAUCAACUACUCCUCCGUUCCAAUUUAUUGAACCUAUUUGACUGGGCACGGAGUUUAAGAAAUAAAUGAAGACUUUUGUAAUUUGUGGUACUAAACAAGUCAGAAUUUUUGUAUGGCUAUAAUUCUUUUGAAACUUGUGAUGGUAAACUUGCCAGAGUAUUUGUAUGGUUAUAAAAGUUCUCAUUAAAGGUAAAAUUGGAGGUUUAAGCGAAAUUGUUUUCAAAUUCAGAAAGGGCCAUUCUUUUUUGAACGGACCAAAAAGGAAAUAGGUUCACAUAAACUGGAACGGGGAGAUUAAGAAGUUCUAAGAGCAAUAAAUCAGUUCAGAAAGUGACAAGUGCUGCAAUUUCAAGUAUCUACAUGAACAUCGUCACAACAUUUCAUAUGGAAAAAGUUUUUUGUCGUCACAUACUUAAUGUUCUCUUAAACUUCCUUCCUUCGAUGACAUAGAUCGUUAAUCUAGGAGGAAAUAUACUGCAGCAGAAUUUGGUAAAAGAGUUUAUAUCUAUAACUGCUCUACAGAUGGAUGUUUAGACCCUCUAAUACUAUGUCAAACUCUCGUCCCAAGAUCAAAAAGGGGUUAUGGAAAAAGAAGUGAAGACAGAGAUCCAUAUCCCUAGCUUUAUUGAAGCCCAUCAACUUAAAUGUAAAAUCUUAACUUUCUUAACAUGUUGGUUGGAACUGGUCUAACUUGUGACGUGGGAGUAUUUGAACACUCUGCAUUCUCAUUGUUUUUCUAACUUGCAACUCAGUGUUCAAGUCAUAAUACUGAGAGCGUUUAUCCUAAUGCUUUAGGCUUCUAUCAGUUGCUGUCAAAGUGCUUUUGCUUGUUGUUAAAGCAAUUGACAACAAGCAAAAGAUUAUUAAGAGUGCCGUCUCUUUUAUGUUGCUGCUUUCAUUCUUUUUUCUUUUCCAGUGGUUCAGUGAGCGAUAGUUACCUAAGAUUAUUAAAAGUGCCUUUGCCUCCAUAUUCUAAAUUUCAAAUUUGCAGUCUCAACGGCUGAAGUGCAGUUUCAAGCAAUUAUUAGAUGAAUAUGGUGAAGCUGAAAUUCCAAUAGAACGGGCAGCUGAAAGAAUAAUGAGAGACGUGUCUAAAGAAGACAGCAACCUGCCAGGCAUCUACCCCCUUGAGUGGGAGUACCAGUUGAGCUCCAUAUUCAUUGAUACUAAAACCUCUAUGGUAUUGUGUUUACACCCCUCUUGUUUUCAGCUUAAGGAAGUGAACAUGUAUUUGCCUGUUCCAUUUUGAUAAAUUUUGCUUUCUAACGGCCGGUGCAUAGGGGCGUUAUGGCACAAGAAGCACUUCUUCUCUCGCAGUGAGGAGUUCCGGUGAGGUAACAUUUUAUGAACUGUCUCUUGAGAAGGAUGUAUGGAAGGAGCAGCAGAUGACCUUUAUGAUUGAGAAAAUGAUAGAAGGUGUUGUUUCUGUAUCCUGAGAAGUUCUUCAAACAUGAACUACCGAGAUCCAAACAAGACAAUGUUUGUGAUCUUUCCCAUGGACAAAGCGGCUGAGUUAUCUUCCUGUCUUAAAUCUGCACAAUCAAGUAAUACUUCGGUUAACCUACAGUUGAAUAUUCAUUCGUUUCUCUACGCCAGGACCUCCUUGCACAAUCUGCUAGGGAAGAUGAGGCGGUUCUGCUUAAUAAGAGCAUCAUAUUAAGUGUAUAUCUAAAUCUUAGCUGCUGACACUAGAAUAAGUGUUGCAGCUAGUGUUGUAAUAUGAAUGUACUAGUAAGUGUUCACUUGCCAAGCACUGAUACUUAUUAAUGAAGGACACAGGACAGGAUGAAAAGAUGGGGGUAAAUAUAUAUGAGCAUGUUAUAGUUUAUAUUCAGGUGAAAAUGCAGCAAUUGUUUGGGUGUCGAUUUUAGACAUAAUCAUCUUAAAAGAGCAACAUCGACGUAUUACUUAUUUGCAUUUUUCCCGCAGAAGGUUGCCGUCGGCAGUUGCAGGUGGAGGAAAAAAGACUUAGGUAGUCCCUUAUGUAUGCCUAUAGGAGUAAUUUUUAUUCCUUAUCUAUACUAGUGAAUAUAAAAUAUCUCUUAUCUUUGUAAAAGAGGACAACUUUGAUCUAAUCCUUAACGGGGGAAACAAAGGUUACGUCAACCAUUAAGCUAAAUGUAAAGAAGACCGAAAACAUUACUGAUAUGCGGGAGCAGGUAAAAUCCUUAAUAUCUUCUCUUUGCUUUGGUGCCAAAGCAAAGAGAACCGCAGCUAAACUUUAUACGGAAAAGUGUCACGUCCUUAGUUGUUAACUAAGUACACGUGCGGCACUUGAUAACUCCUCACGAUCUUGCACAACUUGCUUACGUUCUUGCUAUGUCAAAUCAGCCUUACUACACUCAAGAUUGCUAAGAGAAUGGAAGAAAGAACACAAGAGAAUUGUUAAAGGAGGCUUUAUAUUAGAGAGAACUUGAAUUGUUUACUUGAUGAAUUACAAAUGAAUGGUCCACUUUAUAUACUAGUCUCCUAGGGGCUAGUGUGUAAAUAUUAAUUAUUACACAAGUCCUUGAUAUUUACAAGAUACGAGCUUUUUCUAGAAUUCUCUACAAGCCUAGAAGAUUCCAAGGACUUUCCUAGAAAAUACAUAAGGAUCUAGGUUCUUCCUAAGGAAAUGUCCAUACCUCUCUAGAAUCUUCUCACAAUGCUAGCCUUCUUCUUAUGUAAGCUUCCACAUGGCAUUAAUAUAUGUCAAAUGGCGCCUAUGUGGCAUGAUGACAUGGUGGGUCAUCACACUCUCCCCCACCCAAUGUUGCGACGACCGCGGCGCAAUGCUGCUGCAUAAACUCUCGGAUCUUAUCUUUGAAUUGCCACAAGUCUUCAUAUCGUUCCCACGUGGCUUCCUCCGGUGAUUGCCCUUUCCAAUGGACGAGGAACAUAGCGGUGGCUUUUUGCCCUUGUUUUCUCCUGGCCUGGUAAUCUAUGAUAGCCUCAAUCUCCCGAUCAUGCGAGGCGGUGAUAGUCAUUGGCGCUCGACUUGAUUGGCCCCUACUCGGAUCAUCCUUAUCUUCAUGAUAUGACUUAAGCAUGUUGGCAUGGAAGACAGGGUAGAUCUUAAGAUACGAUGGCAUAUCAAGCUUGUAUGAGAUCUUGCCUACCUUGGCGACGAUCUUAAAUGGCCCCUCAUACUUGCGAAUCAGAUUCUGAUGCAUGCCCCGUAGUGCCUUGAACUGUCUUGGGUUAAACUUCACCAUGACCAUGUCCCCAACUCUAUAGUAUGUGGGACGCCACUUACGGUCCGCAAACUUCUUCAUCUUCUUAGCUCCCUUAUCCAAGUAGGACUUAGCAGUGUCGAGCUGCUUCUCCCAUCCUUUNNNNNNNNNNNNNNNNNNNNNNNNNNNNNNNNNNNNNNNNNNNNNNNNNNNNNNNNNNNNNNNNNNNNNNNNNNNNNNNNNNNNNNNNNNNNNNNNNNNNNNNNNNNNNNNNNNNNNNNNNNNNNNNNNNNNNNNNNNNNNNNNNNNNNNNNNNNNNNNNNNNNNNNNNNNNNNNNNNNNNNNNNNNNNNNNNNNNNNNNNNNNNNNNNNNNNNNNNNNAGCUGAGAGUUGUGCGUGGAUCUGUCCGUAUGACAUAGUCACUGUAGGUACCAUGCAAGCUCCUUCUCGCUCUAUAACCAAGAUAUGUUGGAGGUAGGGGUCGAUUAAAGUAUGACAAUGUCUAAAGAACUCUUGCCCCAGUAUGAUGUCAAAGAUAUCCAUAGCGGUUACGGUAAAGUUUGUCAUACCUUUUCAAGUUCCCAAUUUGACACCAACUCCAUUAGCUACCCCACGAGCAUUUGGUGACAUGGCUUCCACAUGGCAUUAAUAUAUGCCAAAUGGCGCCUAUGUGGCAUGAUGACAUGAAGGUGGCAUAUUUGGAAAAUCUAUCCACGACCACCAUAAUAGUACCAUAACCAUCGGACCUUGGUAGACAAGUGAUAAAGUCCAUAGUCAGGCUCUCCCAUGGACGCUCUGCAACUGGUAGUGGCUCCAAAAGUCCGCCGGGCUGUUGUUGCUCAACCUUGUCCUGCUGACAUACAAGACAAGUUUGCACAUAACAUUCUAUAUCAUCUCGCAUGUGUGGCCCAAUAGUAGACUGACUCAACCAAGGUCCUGCUGCGACGUUGGCCUGGAUGACCAGCCCACAUUGUAUCAUGACUCUCCCUUAUGAUCCGCCGUCUAAUGUCUCCAAACUUAGGCAAUUCCUCGGGCAUGACAUCUUUGUUUUCCUUAAGCAACUUCUCUAUGCAAGGUGACACUUUCUCUUGAAAUUUUUUGUCUUCCUCUAGACUUGCAAUGGUUGCCACGAACGUUGGCUCCCCCUUCUUGAUCCCCUUGACAACCUGCAUAGCUGAGAGUUGUGCUUGGAUCUGUCCGUGUGACAUAGUCACUGUAGGUACCAUGAAGCUCCUUCUCGCUCCAUAACCAAGAGACGUUGGAGGUAGGGUUCGAUUAAAGUAUGACAAUGUCUAAAGAACUCUUGCCCCAGUAUGAUGUAAAAGAUAUCCAUAGCGGUUAUGGUAAAGUUUGUCAUACCUUUCCAAGUUCCCAAUUUGACACCAACUCCAUUAGCUACCCCACGAGCAUUCUGUAUCUUGGAAUUCACGGUCUUGACGUGAGAGUUGGUUGGAGCAAGCUUCAAUUCUAGUCUCUUUGCGACAACCUCAGUCACGAAAUUAUGAGUUGCUCCAGUAUCCACCAUUGCACGAACGGGCUUGUUGUUGAUGGUGAGAUCCACGUACUGAUUGCCAUUCUCGGUAGGUUGGAUAACUUGCUUCGCGACAACACCACAUAUUCCGAUCAUACCCAACUGUGCGGUUCCCGGACUCUCUCCUUAUGGUUGCUCCUUCUGCUCACGUACCAUGGCACUGAGGCUCUUGAGGUCAGGACAAUUCCUGAAGCCAUGUGGCCCUUCGCAUAUAUAGCAUCCCUUCUUCUCGACCUGCGCCUUCUUCUUGGCGUAGCCCUGAUGACCACUCGACUUUUUGAAAUCUUGAGUCUUGGAGUAUUGUUGUUGUAUCUCCUUGACUUUUCCACGGUCUCCCCCACCUUUGGCACUGUUAACCUUUGACUCCUUGACAUUGCCUUUGUCGUGUUUGUCAUGCCUGAAAUCCAUCAAUGAUUCGGCCUCCACUAUGGCUUGGUCUAUAUCAGUGACUUGUCAGCGUUGCAACUCCUGAUUAGCCCAAUUUUGCAACCUGUCCAUGAAGUGGUACAACAAGUCAUCAUUGGUCAGGUUGGGGAUUUGAAGCAUAAGGGUAGUGAACUCCUUGACAUAGUUACGUAUGCUCCCUGUUUGCUCUAAUUCCCUAAGCUUGCGCCUUAUCUCGUACAAGACAUUGUUUGGAAAGAACUAUCGCUUGAACUCCGCUUUGAACUGAUCACAUGUGCUAAUAGUACAUAGACCUUUAUCCACGUCGGCCAUCUUCCUUCUCCACCAUAGCAUGGCAGUCUCUGAGAGGUACAAUACCGCAGUGUUGAUCUUGGCCUCGUCGUCCCUCACUUUGCCGUGCCUGAAGUAGUUCUCCAAGUGCCAAAGAAAGUUUUUCACUUCUUGGGCAUCACGAACACCUUUGAACACCGGGGGUUUAGGAGCCUCGAUCUUGGCCUCUCUCGUCACCACAACAUUGCUGGCUACCUCGGUCACGCCAGCAUUGACAUGUUCCUUGAGUGACUCUAUCUUUGCCUUCAUAGCAUCGAUAGUACUCAAAGCCUCCAUGAGUCUGCACUCUAAGGCAUUGAUGGUUUGCCUUAGUUCCAUCUCAGUCUGUGUACGUCCCUCCAAGUCAUUUCGGAUACUCUCAAUCUCUUCAAGAGUGUGCCCCUCAAGAACGUUAAGGGUACAUUCCACCUUCCCCAAGCAUUGGCCAAAGAUCUCCAUGGCGUCCAUCCCCGCGUCCAUCUUUAUCACCCACUCUUUACCGAGCGAGACGUCCUCUGGAAGGACCUCCACUUCAUCCCCACUCGCCUUAGUGGCAGAUAGUUCUUGGGAUGUAAGCCCUUCGUUUGACACAACCUCAGGUGGAACCUCGUGGCUCUUGUUGGUGGCAUUCCUCUUUUUGCUACGGCCACUCUUGACAAUAGCAUCCUGGAUGACAUUGGCUUGGGUGUUGACAACGUUAAUUUCUCCGUCGUUCGCCAUUCCCUUAGUUGAAACCUUCGUUCUGAUACCAUGUUGUCACGUCCUUAGUUGUUAACUAAGUACACAUGCGACACUUGAUAACUCGCUCACGAUCUUGCACAACUUGCUCACGUUCUUGCUAUGUCAAGUCAGCCUUACUACACUCAAGAUCGCUAAGAGAAUGGAAGAAAGAACACAAGAGAAUUGUUAAAGGAAGCUUUAUAUUAGAGAUAACUUGAAUUGUUUGCUUGAUGAAUUACAAAUGAAUGACCCCCUUUAUAUACUAGUCUCCUAGGGGCUAGUGUGUAAAUAUUAAUUAUUACACAAGUAUUUGAUAUUUACAAGAUAAGGGCUUUUUCUAGAAUUCUCUACAUGCUUAGAAGAUUCCAAGGACUUUCCUACUAAAUCCAUAAGGAUCUAGGUUCUUCCUAAGGAAAUGUCGAUACCUCUCUAGAAUUUUCUCACAAAUGCUAGUCUUCUUCUUAUGUAAGCUUCCACAUGGCAUUAAUAUAUGCCAAAUGGCGCCUAUGUGGCAUGAUGACAUGGCGGGUCAUCACAAAAGGGCCAAAAUUACCCCUAUCAUUUGCUAAAUGGUUUAAAAAUACCCUCUGCCAUCUCUCCGUCCAAAAAAAUACACGAUGUUAAUUCUAUUAACAAAAAUACCCCGCGACUAACGGCAGAAUUAGUGGGUCUUUCAUUUAAUGACGUGGCGAUUUUUAACUGGGCAUCGUGGCAAUCUUUGACUGAAACAAAAAAUUUAUAUUAUUUCAACCUAUUUACCUUAUCCGACCCAUUUACGAAAAUGGGUGGGAUCUAUCACACCCAUUCCCACUCAUCUAACCUCCCCUUUUCCUCUUCUCCAAUCAUAAACCCGAUCUUUAAACCCCUAUAACUGUCGUAGCAAAGUUCCAAGCAGAAGAGCAGUGCAAACAAGAACAGGCGAGACAAUCACCAAUAGGGAAAACACAAAAGGAAAUGAUGUGUACAAAAAUAACAAGAAACACAACAUACACACAAGGAAUGGAUGAUUCCAAAUUGUCCUAUAACACACUUUAAUCUGAAAGAUUACAACUUUUCUAAUUUUAACUCCAAUCUCUGACAACCCAAUACCCAUCUCUUUUUUUAUAAAUAAAAGAGGCAACUUUGUCAAAAGUGGGAUCUGAACAUAUAUUUUUUCCUCACUGUUCUCACCUAGUUCUUCGCAAAAUCUUUAAGGUAAGGAUCAAUUACUCAAUUCUCGUUAGAUCGAGACAAAGAAUAGAUAAAAAUCCCACCUUUGAUUAAUCAAUACAAACACAAAUGUAAAAUUCAAUAACCACCAAUUCUUCCAAUCAAAAAAAGGAAAAUAUUAAAAACUCAGAAAAGAUUUUCAUAUUCAAAUAACAAGAAACACUAAACAAAGAGAAAAUACAUACCAGCGUUGAAAUAGAGAUCAAUCUCAAUAGUGUACCCGAAAACCAACAACUCUACUUCUUUUUUACCUUAGCUAAAGCCUAUUGAUUAAUAUCUGCUAUAUAUUGGGUCUUUGUAUUGGUCAUUUACAAGUGAAAAUUUGGUCUAUUUCUGUUCUGUAAUUUUUCCAAAGAUGGGAUCUAUGAUUGGAGAAGAAGAAAGGGGAGGUCAGAUGAGUGGGAAUAGGUGUGAUACAUACCACCCAUU
rnacentral:lncRNA from 1 species